UUAUACUAGUUGAGACUGGGGUCGGAGAGGCUCAGCAGCUAUUUGAAAGGUUCGGGCUGAGCCCCGUAAGGGUGCUCUCUGACCAGCAGCGGCAGCAUCACUCAGGGAAAGUGAGAAAUGCGCAUUCUCAGCCCCCACACCCUAGACUUCCUGAAUCAGAAACUCUGGGGUGGGGCCCAGCGAUCUGUGUCUUAACAAGGCCUCCUGGUGAUUCUGAAGCACACUCCAGGGUGAGAACCAUGCCUCAGUCUACCCAGGAAUUUGUUAGGUUAAAAAAAUAAACGAAAACAAAACACUGAUGUCCGUUUGGACCUUUCUCCAAAAUCCUAACUCCUCACUUUGACUCUAGAGGCAGUUACUUUCAUCAUGAAAACAGAACUGAUCACAGCUGCUGGGUGUUUUUAGAUGAACCCAUUUUGUCUUUUGUCUUUUGUAGGUCACAUUGCAGAGGAGAAGAGGGAUAAAGAAUCCUCUCUAUUCAACAGGGAUGUAAGUGAUGAGCAGUUAACAACCAUAAAUAAAGGAAAACUUCCAGAAGCAAUCAGUCCAGAUGUUCCAAGCAGGAGUAUGCAAUGCGCACAUCUUCUGCACUUUCUGCAGAGGGACAUCAGCGUCGCCGCUGUCUUGGUGGCAGGAAUCCUCACGGCCACAGUGUCGCUGCUGCUGGCGUUGGUCACGUACAUCAGGAAGAAACAGCCAUUAUCUCCUCCAGCAAACAUGACCUACAGUAUUUUUAUAAUGAAUGGAAAGACUUGGUGGCAGAAGUCUCAAGAAAAGAAGACCAGAAAACAUGGAGGAAAACAGGAACAAUUGAAGUUACAUUCCAGUGUCUAAUCCAGGUGAUGGGGCCAGCCAACCAGCACCCAAAGCCGUGAUGCGAGGCGAUUCUCCAUCCGGACUCCGUGGAGAGGCAGUUGGAUUUCUGGCUGUGAGGUGCACCCUGCAAAAUGUUUACCUUUUCCUCUCAACUUUGAAUGGACCAAGAAAAUUUUGACCACAGAAUGCUCAUAAUGGGAUGGAAGAUGUUUCUUCAGGAAAAAGAAAGAAAGAAAAGAAAGACUGAAUUCAAUGUAGUUCAGUGCCCACUGUAUGUGCCACACCCACACCUCUAUAUUGCCCCUCCC